CGAAGAUGUCAUUCUGAUAAAUAGCUCCCGGAGUUGAGGCUAGUGAUGGCAAGGAGGCAGGUGUGGCCUCCCAGGUACCUGUACCUGCUGUGCGUGCAACUUCACAGCAGGUUCCAGGCCAGAAUCACACUGCACAGUUUUAACCCAAAUCCACAGCUAAGGACAUGCUGCUUCCUAGGUUACUAACUGCAAAGAAAAACACCUGCCUGCAACAUACCUUCAGACCCAUUUCUUCGUUUCGGUACUUCCUGAAAUAGUCUGUUCAGGCUCUGGCCUGGAUUCUCUGUUGAAAAACAAGUGUGGGCUUCCUGUGCAACUUGGGAGCUACUAGAAACUUCUGAGAGGCCCUUCCCUGGCUGACUGGCUGCAGAGGCCAUGGCUCUACUGCAGACGGAGAUCAGACAGACCUAAGGAGUGGCCUGUGGCACCAAUGCCACCAGGGGCAAAGGACGGGGCACUGCCGCCAAGCGAAUCGCCCACCAGUCCCCGGGGGACACAGCUCACAGUAUCAUCCAAGGACAGUCAGUUUCGAUUGACAUCACCAUAAAAAGCUCAGCGUGCUUUGUGCAAACUGACGCUGUUUGAAACAUCUCCCUUCUCCAUUUGUUCUGAGCCUAAGUGUCAGGAUGUUUAAAUGUGUCUGAUGAGAUUACCUCUCUCUACCACUGCAU